GCCAGAAGUUUGCAUUCUGCGCUGUCGUAGUCGGCGAGUCUGAGCUCCUCCCCAAAUCAGGCUUCGACAGCGAUAUGCAGUUGCACAUAACGAUGUUCACGGAUGUAGUUUCUUCAGGCAUCGGAGCAAACGGCUGAAACACCACAGAAGAUGAGAUGAAUGAUCGUCCAAGGCAAAAUGUGUGAGCUCCACAAGCUCUCCAUUCAAUUUAUAUGCUAUGAAGAGUAGUGUUGGCGCUGCGCUGUUACUGAUCAGCGCUGCGCUGGGGAGAUCAGCUCGGUGGCGCUGGUGAACACGUCCUCUCUGCGCUGUCGAGUCGGUCGCGGAGCUCGGUCCAUUGAGCCGCGCCUGUGACCGGUCAGCGCUGCGCGAACACUUUAAUACCGCACUGUUUAUCCUACAUUAGCCGUUUGCUCCGAUGCCUGAAGAAACUACAUCCGUGACCAUCGUUAUGUACAGCUGCAGGAGGAGCUCAGACUCGCCGACUACGACAGCGCAGAAUGCAAACUUCUGGCAGCCGAUGUUGCAAUGUGUUUGGCAGUUCCUGUGGGAGCGCAUCAUACCCAGAUUCAUCUGAGGAACAACGACGUCGCUACCAGACUUCGACCGACAAUGCUACAGCUCCGAUACCGAAGAAACCCCGAGCCAACGACACUCUGCGGACUCGAGUCACUUCGGACAUGGCGCAUAUUUCACCCGCCUAUCGACUAUUCUCCAAACACCGAGAUGCCUUUCCCAGUUCUCCAGAUGGACUUUCUCUGACGAUCACACAUUUUUCAGAACAAAGCAAUUAUUUUAUGGCAAUGCUGUAAUGUAAUUGUUAUUUUAAAUCUCUGGACAUCUUGAAUUUCUUUGUACAUUUUUAACAUCUAUUUCUAUUUACUCUGUUUGCUGUUUUCCGCUCUUUGUCAUUUUCUGUUUCUUUAUGUGGAUUUGGGAAGAAAUACUGUAUGUCCUCAUUGUAAAGGCUUUAAAACUUUGUUGAAUAAAACAAAUGAAACCUUAUUUAAA